UAAAAAAUGGAACGUCAUUUAUUUGAAGACACAAUUCUCUGUAUGUGCACUUGCCAUGACUUUAUUUUUGAAUAUUUCUGUGUGCAUGUGGUAGGGAAAACAUUGUUGUAUACUACAAAUUCAGUGUUUUGCUUAUAGGUUGGAGACUACAUGAGAUUUUGACAGAUGGCGGGAAACCCUCAUCAACUGGAGAUCAGCCGGUAGAGAAAUGUCUGCGACUCAGCCGAGGGCCACUGCAUAAGGGUUAUUGAUGGCAAAACAGGUUGGAGACUACAUGAGAUUUUGACAGAUGGCGGGAAACCCUCAUCAACUGGAGAUCAGCCGGUAGAGAAAUGUCUGCGACUCAGCCGAGGGCCACUGCAUAAGGGUUAUUGAUGGCAAAACAGGUAGUAAUACUAAAUUAUUAUCAUGU